AUACUAGGGAUUGGAUGUUCAAUCGAGUUCAAUCCUUGACCCGACUUGAACCAAAUCUAAAAUCAUGCUUGAUUACAAUCAAGAUAAUAAUUUAACCUUAGAUUAUAUAGAUUAAGAUAGGCUCUAAUACCACUAUUAGAUUUUGAUGGUGCAGCAAAAGGGUUAGGUGUUUAAAAUUUUCAUUCAAAAUACCCAAUACAUCGAAAAUCCUAAUACCCAGAAACCCUUGACUAUAUCAAUCAAAGUAUAAUAAAUAUAAAUUUAAAUCAGAAGAAUACCUAUAGUGCUAAUCUAAUUUUUAUGAGACAUCCAAGUAUCUACCCUUCAAUGGUGAUCCAUAUGAAAAUUGAACCAAGGACAACGCUCCUCCUUCACCUUAGUUUAAGAGUUCUAGCCUUUAGAACUCGACUAGCCACC
rnacentral:lncRNA from 1 species